rnacentral:rRNA from 1 species
CAUCAGGAGGUUAGUGCAAUGGCAUAAGCCAGCUUGACUGCGAGCGUGACGGCGCGAGCAGGUGCGAAAGCAGGUCAUAGUGAUCCGGUGGUUCUGAAUGGAAGGGCCAUCGCUCAACGGAUAAAAGGUACUCCGGGGAUAACAGGCUGAUACCGCCCAAGAGUUCAUAUCGACGGCGGUGUUUGGCACCUCGAUGUCGGCUCAUCACAUCCUGGGGCUGAAGUAGGUCCCAAGGGUAUGGCUGUUCGCCAUUUAAAGUGGUACGCGAGCUGGGUUUAGAACGUCGUGAGACAGUUCGGUCCCUAUCUGCCGUGGGCGCUGGAGAACUGAGGGGGGCUGCUCCUAGUACGAGAGGACCGGAGUGGACGCAUCACUGGUGUUCGGGUUGUCAUGCCAAUGGCACUGCCCGGUAGCUAAAUGCGGAAGAGAUAAGUGCUGAAAGCAUCUAAGCACGAAACUUGCCCCGAGAUGAGUUCUCCCUGACUCCUUGAGAGUCCUGAAGGAACGUUGAAG